GCCACAUGCUCCUAUUGUAAUAAACACUUUAAAAUGAUGGCAGGUCAGGCUAUUUUUGGACGUCUCAAAAACACAUUUUGUGUCUCACAGCAAACAUCAACCAAACGUUAUUCCUGAGCUGAAGAAGUACUGCAUGUAAAGAUAACCUUCAAGCAUACCGGUACCCGGUAAAGACCCCAAACUGUUGUUCUAAUCAGAAGAAAUGUCCUAAAUUUGUCUCCACAGACAUAAUCAGUUUGGUUUCCCAAAGAGGUGAAAUCAUAGUGGGAUAUAUCCGCCAUGUGACCUUAGCCAGUGACACUUUAUUGUUGUUAGAACAAGACAGAAAUGUGUGUGCGCACAUACACACCAGUUGCUUCCAUCUCACAAAGGUUAAAUGCCUGUCUUUGCUCCCAAAAAAAGGCAAAAGGCAAUAGGGUUUGGCAUGAGGGGGGUCUUAAUAUAUUGCCUAUAUUUAGGAACUGAGUUAUGGCCCAUGGGGUAUUUGGGUGGGAUCGUGUGACAUAUGAAAAGUUCUGGAAAUGCUGAGUGGAUUUGCAGUAUAAGGAGUAAUAUUAUGGUAGUGGGGCUGAUUGCAGUCAGUGACAGAUAGUGUGACAGGUGUUCCAGGACGAGGGUGCAGUGUCAGAUGUACCUCUCAUUUAGAAAUGGGCCACUUGCUGACUUUUUUAAUGCUCAUGUAACACUUUUUAGCUGCUUUCCUUCAUGGCUUGACACACAGGCCCCCAAGGUCCAGAUGAUUCAGGGAUCCUUCUUGGGGCAGCCUGGACAUCCAUGGCCAGGAACCUGGAACAGACGCCAUGCUGGUCACUACAUCACCGGCUUGCACCGGGGACAGCAGCAAGGGGCAGAACAGAAGCCCUGCAGAUGUUCUCCAUCACCCAGCCCACAGCAGCACCUGCCCCUGAAGACCUUGAGCUCCACCGCUCGUUUCCAAACCUGCAGCAGGCCCGUUCCCUCCCUGGGAUUUUCUGAUGAAUGUUUAAUCUGCCAAACAGUGAGGUCACUGCACGGUGACACAGCGCAAUUCUCGUGUGACUAAUAUUGCAUCUUGACAGGGUUUAUUUUGAAAGUUUCACUUCAACAUUAGUGAUAAAAACAACUCAGGAUGAUUGAUCAUUAGCUCCGCUGCCACCGCUGCCGCUGCUACUGCAAUCCCAAUAAGUGCCUAAAAUAAAUGGGUGAGAUUUGAAACUGCA
rnacentral:lncRNA from 1 species